GGAGGGUAUAGCUCAGUGGUAGAGUGCGUGCUUAGCAUGCACAAGGUCCUGGGUUCAAUCCCCAGUACCUCCA
rnacentral:tRNA from 1 species